ensembl:lincRNA
UAAUCGAGGCUUCAGUCCGGGAGGCUGCAGCCCCCUGAUCCCAGAAUUAUGCCUCUCUUGUUUUUCUUGUUUCUCUUGCUUUUCUUUUCAUCCAUGGCACCUUGGGACCUGUCACCCCAGACAGAAACUGACUAUACACUGACACCAGGCCUGGAAAGUUACCCUGCCAUCCUCCUGGCUCCUAAGAGGUGUGGUGUCUGGGAGGAAGACAGAUGUGUAUCCAGCUCCGGCUGGAAAGGAAACAUGUCCAAGUUAUCAGGAGUUUGGGGUUAACAUCGUUUAUCAGCUGGGAGGUUUUGGCUAAAACUGCAACUAAAGUUGUCUUAAGAUUAGACAAAUUACCAUUGCACAUAAUAGAACAUCCAGUCUCUGCCGCUGAGUGAGCCAUUCAGACUCCAGGUUCUUUCCAUUUUCCAGCGUUGGCUUCAUUCUCAGACUGUGAGUAAGGAGGGGCAGUGUGCAAAGCAUCCAACUUUCUCAUGUUUAGAAGAAGAGGAAAAAGGAUUUCUUUCUGUGUCUCUUCACAGGGUGAAGAAACUUCUGCUAGAAGUCCAGCAGCCAACUUCUGUCAUCUCAUCGGCCAUACAUGGGUUAUGCGCCUCUUCUGGACCAGUCACUGUUAAGAAGUACAGAAUGGCCCUCAAACCCUGGAGCACACAGGAGAUCAGCCUUUCUCAGGGUCCAGUGCAGAUGGACAGAAAGGACACACCGCUGCCAUCCAUCAGAAGGAACAUGCAGAGACUGGCCCCAGGAGGACUGUGUGUCCCCAAGGAGGUCUGCUCUGGAUACUCACACGGGACUUCCAGAUGGCACCUUCUCCUAGGUACGACACCUCUUUCCAUUGGCAAUCUCUACCUCCUUCCCUCCCACACCCAGUGCACUUCUUCCAUGCUUGGACUUUAUGUUUGUUUAAAAACAAUAGCUAUUGGUUUUGAUUUCAUUUGGUGCACUGGGUGCUGCUGAUUUGUUAGUAAAAUCUGCUUCAAGAGGUCAACAGGAGACAUCUCAUUGGUCCACAUGAAGUCAAUGUGGUGAUAAAGCCCCUAUCAUUUGCUCAGUUCUGUUUUCAGGAACAUUGGAUUGCAUGCUGGUCCACGCUCUGCUAGACUGGGGGUGAGGCAGCUAUGACCACAGUGCACUCCAUAGUGAGUGCACCUUAUGCCUCUGAUGGAGGCCAUGCAUAGCUCUGAGGCCAGGCUCUACCCUUCCUUGGUGGAGUCAAGGGAAGGACAUGCUAAGUGUGGGAGGCAGUGUUUACUACAGUCCCCCAAAGAACACCUGCAGUGGAAAUGAGAGAUGGAGAACGACAUGAAAUGUACUUGGCCUCACACCUUAAAUCACAGUCCCAGCGACAUUAUGAUCUCAGACUCUGAUUGUAAGACUCAUGGAGGAUUCCAUAGGCCCCACACCCCCACUGUUACAACCAGAGCUGCUCCCAGCAAAGCACGUUCCAUCACUGCAUCUGACAGCCAGCACUUCCCACAAGGCACCCUCCAUCGCCCAUAAUCCUGACAUUGCUUUAAGUUUUCUCAGACCACCGUGACCAAAAUGGUAUGGCUAAACCAUUUAAAACAGUAUCUACUAAAUAAUUAUGAUGCACCAACAAUGUUUUCUAUAUAAGCUCAUUUAAUCAUCACAAUAACCUCAUAAAUAAAGUAGUGUUGUUCACUACAUUCUGCUUCUCUAAGCGAUGAUCAUGGGGUUUGGGUUACUGUCUUAAUCACUUUUCUCAUCCCUGGGAUGGAACACUCGAUACAUGAAACUAAAACGAGGACAGGUUUCUUUUGGCUCACGGCUCAGUCCAUAGUGGGCUGGCUCCCAGGCACAGCAGAGGGGCCUGGGAGAAGACGACAUCUCACAUCAUGGCCGCAGGAAGCAGAACAUGAAGGGAAGGGCCCAGAAGGGAGAUAAACCCACCUUUCGGUUCAAAGUCAGCAGCUGUAAAUACUGGUACCGUAUUUAAAGCCCAAAAGUACAGCGCAUGAUCUCAGGCUCAUGUGCCC